GAUGAACGCUGGCGGCGUGCCUAACACAUGCAAGUCGAACGAAGCACUUUUCCCGAAUUUUUCGGAAGGAGGGGACUGUGACUGAGUGGCGGACGGGUGAGUAACGCGUGGGGAACCUGCCCCGUACCGGGGGAUAACAGCCGGAAACGGCUGCUAAUACCGCAUAAGCGCACAGUGCCGCAUGGCACAGUGUGAAAAACCACGGUGGUACGGGAUGGACCCGCGUCUGAUUAGUUAGUUGGCAGGGUAACGGCCUACCAAGACAGCGAUCAGUAGCCGGCCUGAGAGGGUGGACGGCCACACUGGGACUGAGACACGGCCCAG
rnacentral:rRNA from 1 species